GAAGGACGUCACUACGCGCAGGCGCAAUGACUCACCAACACCAACAGCAGCCAACUGGAGAGGAGCUCCAAGCUAACGGCGGAAAGUUUGAAUGUGAAUAAACGUUUCCAAAACACAGGUGUGGUCAGUGAAUGCAUCACCAUCCAGACAGUGAUGGAGAUGAGCCGCAGUGACCCAUGGACUAUUACAGGAAUGACACUUAGAUGUUUUUCUGCAUCAGUGGAUGAGAGGAUGGAAAUGGAGGAACAUCAGACAGAACUGAGAACAACUCCUUCUCUGCGCUGAGGCUGCUGGGUUUCCUGCGUCAGUGGAUGAAGUCCUGGAAAUGGAGAACCAUCAUCUGUGGAGCUGCUGGAGGACAGAUCUGAUCUUUAUGACUGUUUUAGAGGUCAGUGAAUACUCCAACUGUGGGAUGUUUUGGAUCUGUUGAAUUGGUGAUUUCCUGUAUUGAGUCUAUUGUUGGUAGAGCUGAAACAGGUGUGCAGUUUGUAAGUGGUGGUCAGUCCCAUUCAUUUAAUGUGGUUUUUCAUUCAGACACAGUCGGGGUUGACUGUUGGUUUACACAAAUAUGCAUUCCUGAUCCAGUAUGGGUUCAGUUCUAUUCAGUUGUGUUUUCUGUUUUGCAGAGGUUUGAGGUUUUAUACAGUUUGUUAGUUUGUUAACCAGAGUAGGUCCAAAUGUUGUCCUGU